UCCACCAUAGCUUAAUGUAAAGUAAAGUGCCAUUACGCUUGGUUGUAGGUUCGAGUCCUGCCGGGGGAA
rnacentral:tRNA from 1 species